UACAGAGGUCUCAAGCGUUGUUCGGAUUCAUUGGGCGUAAAGGGUGCGUAGGUGGCAUGGUAAGUUUGAUGUGAAAUCUCCGGGCUUAACCCGGAAAUGGCAUUGAAUACUACUGUGCUGGAGGUUUGGAGGGGGGACUGGAAUUCUCGGUGUAGCAGUGAAAUGCGUAGAUAUCGAGAGGAACACCAGUGGCGAAGGCGAGUCCCUGGACAACACCUGACACUGAGGCACGAAAGCUAGGGGAGCAAACAGG
rnacentral:rRNA from 1 species